rnacentral:lncRNA from 1 species
UAUUAAUAAAACUUUGAAAAAUCAUAUAAAAUAAAUAGUAACUCAGAUGAAAAUAAUUUAUAUAUGAAAAAUGAUUAGAAAAAUAUAACAAAACUGAUUUUGCCAUCCACAUAGUUGUCACGUCCCUCCACCAUAAUGAACUUGGACAUUUUGCAUUAGGAUCAUCUAAUCGAAAAAUACGUGUAGCCGAGAAAAUACCGCAUGAUAUUUCCCCCUUCUUUUAAAAAUUCUGAGGGAUGCAUUAGAGCAUGACACCCACACAACUUGUCGUGCCAUUGCAUUUGUGUUGCAUUUGAUUUCUCCGUUAUUUAUUUUGUUUCUCCUUGUGUUACUUCUUUUCCGGUAGGCCCCGAGACCGUUGUUGAUACGGUGAUCGAUUUCUUCACCGUUGAGGAUUCGUAUCUGUCUGCAGAGCAAACAGGCAAGCAAACCCCACUGGACCAUCCAUAUAUUGCCCAAUUUUUUCUCCCUCGUGCUUGCAUUAGAAUUUUCUAUUAUAUUUGAUUGUUCCUAUUCUGAUACAUAGCCUGAUUUUGUAGCCUACUGUUGUUACCUACUUGCUUACACUAUAUGCUUUGUAUUGGUUGGAUACUGAGCCACCAGCGACCCCUCCCCUUGUCCUUGUUGCCCCGCUACAUUAUCGAAAGAUUUGAUCCAGGGGACCGACGAGCCAAGACUGUCACGUCACCACACACCCCCCUCCUUAGCUGUACGAUGCUACAUGAGUACUAUCGACUUUCGAGGAUGAUGGAAGAUUCAAUCCAGGUGAUCGACGAGACAAGAUGGGCAUAUCAUCUCACACCCCCUGGAUGGACAACGCUACAAUACUACUAUCGACUAUUGAGGGUGAUAUCUUCUAGUCCACUGUGAUAGUUACAUCAAUUAGAAACCCAUAGAGGGUGAUUCUUUGAAAUCCCCCUUGAUGACAAGGACACACUAUUACUUUUACCUGUUGCCCCUUUUAUUGGUAUUGUGGGACUAAAGGGACUGGCAUACCAGCCCGUUUGAAGUGGACCGGAGUCCCCGACAGUCUCUUGUGGAAUCGGGUCAAACUAGAGGGUAUUCGUGAGAUAACUACGUGACAUGGUCGGGGAUUCUUUGCCCUUGUCGUAAGUCCGAGAGACGGGGCGAUAGGAUCGGGAGGAUCGUUUAUCAUUACCGCGAGCUCCCAAGACACUAACGGGUUUGGAUAUGUGACCCGAGUAGGCCUAUGGCCUAUAUCGCACUAACCACCACACGGGAAUAAGUAUGGGCACUCUUCGUAGUACAUUCUCCCGAAAGCUCUCCAGACGUCACAGUUGAGCGGCACGCGCCCUGGUGGCUGAUGACCCACAAGUGUAGGGAUCUAUCGUAGUCCUUUCUAUAAGUAAGAGUGUCGAACCCAACGAGGAGCAGAAGGAAAUGACAAGUGGUUUUCAGCAAGGUAUUCUGUGCAGGCACUGAAAUUAUCGGUAACAGAUAGUUGUGUGAUAAGAUAAUUCAUAACGGGUAGCAAGUAACAAUAGUAACAAAGGUGCAACAAGAUGGCCCAAUCCCUUUUGUAGCAAGGGACAAGCCUGGACGAACUCUUAUGUAAGGUAAAGUGCUCCCGAGGACACAUGGGAAUUUCUGUCAAGCUAGUUUCCAUCAUGUUCAUAUGAUUCACGUUCGCUACUUUGAUAGUUUGAUAUGUGGGUGGAACGGUGCUUGGGUGCUGUCCUUACUUGGACAAACAUCGCACUUAUGAUUAACCCCUCUCGCAAGCAUCCGUAACUACGAAAGAAGAAUUAAGACUAAGUCUAACCAUAACAUUAAACUGGUGGAUCCAAAUCAGCUGUAACGACCAAGAUGCGGUCCUUUCCGAUCUGGGGGGUCGAGGCCCCGAAUAGGAAAGAAGCGCAUCUAAGUGUUUUGCAAGCAAGUAAACAUAGCACAAAAUAAUAAAUAUAGUAGACAAUCUGGGAUUCAACUGUCUUCUUAUUAAAAAUACAGAGUACAACGCAGCUACAAACAAGGUAGUUCCGGUACGGACUACAAAACAAGGGAAAUGCUAUGCUACCCGCUGCAGGCCCACGAUCACGACCACGGCUCAGUCCUCUGGAUAUCUCACGUAAAGGCGAUCUGUCUCCUCGUCGUACUGCCACGCCAGCUGGGUGCCGUCGGGAUCAUCUGCCUCUGGGGUACCUGUACCUGCUGGGGGUUUAGGAGGAAUCCGUGAGUCACGGGGACUCAGCAAUCUAAGACCUUGGUGCCAGAACUAGUCAUGUUAUUGGGUAAGGAAGGGGUGAAGUGUUUCAGAUUGUUGCAUCCUAAGAUUGAACAAGUGGCUAGCUUACGCGAAGGAGAAGUGACAGUGUUCUAUACUAACGAUCGUGAUUACUUGAUCAGAAAGUGAUCCUGAACACCUACCUACGGCAUUCGUAACCCCACCGUGUUCCCGAUCGAAGAGAGAUCUUCGAAGGGACAGUCACGGUUACUCACACAGUUGGCAUAUUUUAUUAGUUUUUCUUUAAGUUUUCUAAUACCGGAUGUUAACAAAAUAUUCCAAGUUGCCACAUAACCGCGGGCACGGCUUUCCGAAAGAUUAAACCCUGCAGGGGUGCUCCAACUAGUCCAUCACAAACGAACACAGGCCGAAAAGUCAUCCUCUAUCACGAAUCUCGUGAUCUCGUCGGAUUCCUUAGAGGAAAACCUCAACUCUGGGGAAAACCAAAGCCUCACCGGGAUUCCUAUACGCAAGAUAUACCGCUAAGGUAAGACAAGGCUAGCAGGACCUCCCGGUGUGUCGACGACCCGAUAAGAGCCGCGUAUCUCCGUCUCAGGACAACACCGUCUAUGCAAAGUGGACAAGGACCAAACCUCAAGUUACCCCGGGGUGGUCUUGCCGACUGCUAGGUGGUUGGACCAACACUCAUGAGGAGCACUGGCCCGGGUUGGUGAUUAGGAUCCUCGGGGUAGCUAUUCCCUAUGCAGAUUAUAGUUAGGUGAUUAGCAGAUAGUACCAAAGUUGGGUCCUGCCGGACAAGCCUUAACACUACGCGAUUUAUCAAGGGGGUCCCCAUAACAACCCCGAACGUGUUAGGAGCGAUCAUUAUGGAAUCAAACACCGAUAACCGGUAACUAAGGCGGCAAUAACGGAACAAGACACCCGGCAAAAGGCUAGGCCUCCCGUCAUGUACCUAAUAUAUAGAUACAUUAAUUAAAUAACAGAAAUUAAGAUAAUGAUACCAAGCUCAUGGCAACUCAUGAGUUAUAAACACCUGCAACUAACAAUGCUAACAUUAGUAGCUGAGCAAGCCUACCUAGCCAUGCAAAUUUGCUAGGAAAGAGUAAGGUGUUUGGGCUCAUGGCAUAUGAAGAGGCAAUAUAUUUUCAGUGGUAGGCAGCGAGCAAUAUGACGUGGAAUCGAAACUAACAUAACAAGUCUAGAUAUGGGAUCAAGGUCAUGUCAUCUUGCCUGUGAUAUCCUCAGCUUGGAAUGGUUCUGGAUCGUCCUGCAAGUACUCUCCUGACUCCACGUAAUCGGUCUCCGCUCCCGGUGCUACCCAACACAGGAAUAACAGCCAAUGAACAGCAGCACCACAAAAUGCAACAAUCACAUGAUGCAUGAGAUGAAAGUUGAGCAUGCACCACUAUUUCUAACACUAGCACAAGCAAGAUAAACUACAACGAGUUCCUGGACAGAACUUUGCACUAAACUAUUUGGACAUGCAUGGAAAUGAUAUGGACAGAUGCAUCUCGUAAAAACGGUGCAAAACCAUAUAAAGAACUUUGCAAACGGAGCUACGGAUCAACGGGAAUCAACGAAACACGAUAUGAAGCCCUACGUGAAAGAUUCAUCACCACACGCACAAUUGGCACAAAUCUGGUGUUCCCAGGUUGCCAAGACAUAUAUUAACCCAACAUGAAUGAAAUGGAGCAAGGUAGAACACCCCAACAACAAUUAAACACAAACUUUGAACAAAAUGCCAAAACUACGCAAUCUGCCAGUUUCUGCAUCUUAGCUGUUUGUGAGCCACAUGCAACAUAGCUACAGGUCUUCAAACAUGACAAAUAAUAUAUGUGGAUGUUUCCAACCAAGAACACUACCAUCUCCAGCAAGAAUCACAGCAAAAGGGAUUAAACUCUAGAAGAUACAAGGCCACAAACUUUCCCAAAACCAUCAGUUCUCAGGGACUUAGUGAAAAUUUCUGCACCUGAGUUUCUGUUUCUGUACUGAAGCCUUUUGACAGCAAUCAAAACACAAGAUACUGUACUCCAAAUGACUUGAAAAUUGACAGGAAGCUUCACAAACAUACCAGGUUCAAAACACCAGCACUGAACUAAGUCCAGUUCUCAAUAUACUGACCUGCACAACCUUAUCUACAGGGGAAGAAAAUGUUUUCCGCAUUCCAGACUUAGUGAAAUUUUCAGAGUUCAAAAUUCUGGAAUUUUUCCAGCCACAUGCCCACUUUGUCUAGGCAUAGUUUGCACACACAAGUUCCCAAGAGGUGUUUGACACCACUAUGGUAUUGAGCACAAACCCCUACAACUAACACACCAAGAUCCAUGCCUUUGGGCUCCAUCUAUACCAUGGAAACAAAGCCCAAACUUUCAACAAAAUGAAAAAUGCAAAACCAAAAGGUAUACUUUUAAGAUGACAAUGCAUAGGAGGGUUUCAUGUGCACAAUGACAAAGUGACAUGGGGUUUUGAACCCCAUGUUUGUGUCAUGCACAUCAACAACUCCAACACACACACAAUUCCUCUCAAGCACUAGCAUCAAGCUCGCACACAAGAAAUCUUUGUAUAACAAAAGAGUAUACACACCCCCCACACAUGGGCAUGUGAUGGUGCACACUCUCCCAAGCACCACUAGUAUCUUCCUAGUAUUCAUGUCACCAUCAUAGUGCAAACUACCACAACAAACCACACCCUCACAUGCUAUCAUAAAUAGCUAUCUAGUGCUAUUCCUCACCUCAAGACAUGUGAUGAGGGGGAGGCACCCACACCCCACUAUGUCAAUGCAAGCAAAUAAAACUACAAGAUCCCUUAGACCACCUUAAACUCCCAAAGAUGGGCUCCACAAGAGUAGCUAGUGCAUCUACUCCUUGAGGCACACACACACAAUUACCACACAUCACAAGUACCAUACCCACCAAGUGUUUACCAAGCUAGCAAUACCACCUCUACUUACUUGUAGGUGCACAACACACACACAUAGGGCCAUGUUCUCAACUACACUAGCAAGGAAUAAGAAGAUAAAACCCUCUUGCUGCCCAACAUAAGGGAGGGAAAGUACAAAAAAAAAAAAAANNNNNNNNNNNNNNNNNNNNNNNNNNNNNNNNNNNNNNNNNNNNNNNNNNNNNNNNNNNNNNNNNNNNNNNNNNNNNNNNNNNNNNNNNNNNNNNNNNNNNNNNNNNNNNNNNNNNNNNNNNNNNNNNNNNNNNNNNNNNNNNNNNNNNNNNNNNNNNNNNNNNNNNNNNNNNNNNNNNNNNNNNNNNNNNNNNNNNNNNNNNNNNNNNNNNNNNNNNNNNNNNNNNNNNNNNNNNNNNNNNNNNNNNNNNNNNNNNNNNNNNNNNNNNNNNNNNNNNNNNNNNNNNNNNNNNNNNNNNNNNNNNNNNNNNNNNNNNNNNNNAGUACAAAAAAAAAAAAAACAAAUAAAAUAAAUAGGCAGCAAAGGAAAGAAAGAAAAAAAAAAUUAAAAAAAAUAGCAAAACCAUUCCAGGGUCCCUGGGAUUCGAACUAGGCACCUACUGGAUUACCAGUCACCAACAAACCACUGCACUAGCUGCGCUACUGGUGACAGGAACGCGACAGGAAACAGAUAACUCCCCUUGCUGGCUACCGUAUAGGAAAAGAAACUAAAAAAAUUGUGCCGAGAGGGGGGUUCGAACCCUGGAUCUCCCAUCAGGCGCACGCAUAUGACAGAGAGGUACUACCAUCAGGCUACGAACUGGAGUCUGGCUAAGACUAGCAAGUAAAGCAGAACUACACACGCCUCACGAGAAGCAUCCCGCCGGCGGCCGGACCCGAGGACGCUGGCGGCGCCACUCCCGGCCACCACCGGCGGGGAAAACCAACGGCGGGGCCCGCGGGACUCUCGGGGGACCCAUUUUUGCCCUAAGCACGGGAGAAGGAGCACCCUUGGCUGCCUUGAACUGCAGCGGCGUUCCUGCUACGCUGUAGUUCGCCUGGGAGCACGGGACAGAGAGCUUGACGGGCAGCCCUGCCUGCGUCGCUACGCUGCACGGCCGGCGUGGAGCUCGUGCAUUCGGCGCUGAGGGACGCGAGGAGAAGACCCGCACCUUCUGGGUGCCCACCUACGCGGGGAGGAAACCCUGUGCAAACUGCAAGCUCUUCUCUGAUGAUAUACGCCUACCGAGACCUAGGUGACACGACCCCAGCUGCCGGCGGCGAGGAGAGUUCCUCUGAACAUGGCGCUGCUGCAGAGAGGGGGAGGAAGCCCUCCUCUGCACGGUACCUCCAUAACAAACCUACCCCACCCUGCACCACUCGCGACUACUGCACCCCCACACACCGCUAUCGGACAGAGAAAUGCACACACGCUGGAACGAGCCGGACCGCGGAGGCGGAAGGGAGGAGGACGAGGACGCGGCCUCACCUUGAGGAGAAGAGGGGCGUCGAACGGGGAGGAGGAGCGUCGGAGAGGAAGAAGACGGCCAGACGAAGUCGUCCCGCCGAAGACCGAAGAAGGAGACGGACGCGGAUCGCCCGGUUCGUCCCGUUGACGAGGACGAGCUCGAUGGGGGGGGCCGCUCCUCGGGGUCCUAGCGCCGGGAAUGGGACGCGGGGACUCACCCCGAGCCCCCGGACAUGGCGCCCAGUGCCGGAGACGACGGAUCGGCGGCUUGACGGGGGAGGCGCUGCACCCUCUCUCUCUGCUCUCUCUCAGGACUUACCAGGGAAGAACGAGGGCACUAGGGAAACUGGCGGCGCUGGGGAGGAAAGGAGAGGGAACCCUAGGGCGGAGGAGGAGGUCUCGGGCUCCUUUUAACGCCUCGGGAGGCGAGCUUGAGCCGCUGGAUCGAGAAGAGGGCGAUCGGGAGGUUGAGCGCGCGUCGUACAGGAGGUGACGUCGGGAGGAAGAAGGAGCGCUCGCCGGUGGGCUCUAUUAUCGCCAGGGUGGAGUCUAACUGGGCCAGCACGGGAGAAGGCUCAAUGGGCCAGGGAAAGAAUAGCUACACAGGAAGUUUAACCAAAUAUAACAACAGAGGAAGGAAUGCUUUCAGGGAAGAAAAAAAAUAUUACCCAAGAAAAAUACUGGGAUAAAAAUUAAAAGGAAAAUCCUGCUAGACAAAAAAAAUAAUAGCCCAAUAGGGAAAAAUAGGAAUGCAAUAUUUGGAGAUGUUCGAAAUAAAUGCAAAACAGUAAUUAACCUACUGUUUUGUAUUUAUUUGCACCACCAAAAUCAAAGAAUCAAAUCAGAAAAAUUGCACCCCUUCAUAAGCAAUUUUUAUCUACCCACUAGACAUUUUAGA